AUGGAUGACGACGAGGAGGAGCAGCUGGAGAAGGAGGAGGAGGUGGCCGAGACGGGGAUCGACUCCCAGUGCAUUUGCUCUUUGCUCCAUAUAAACAAGAUUUUCGAGGUAGGAAUAUCAGAGCAUCUGGCAAAUAAGUUGCAACAUAUGAGCAUUGACUUGGUUGAAAAGGCAAAUUCUUCAAUUACAGCAGAGCUGGAUUAUGUAUCGAAUCUGGUGAUUGGUGUCAUUGACGUACAACGGAGUAAGGAAAAAGGCUAUGAAACAUUGGUGAAAGAAAAUUUAUGUGAUGAGUUGGAUGAACUGAGGAUGGUGUAUGAAGAAUUACCUGACUUUCUGGAGCAGGUUUCAGCUAAUGAAAAUGCCUCCUUCCCUUUCUCGCUUGAAUGCAGAAAAGCUCCGCUUAUUGUCUAUGUACACCAAAUAGGAUACUUGAUGUGUUUUUUUGAUGAGAAGAUAAGUGAGGCCUUGUUAAUAGGACUUCAAGAUUUUGAAUUUGCGUUUUCAGAGGAUGGGGAAGAGAGAAGGUUCUACUACCAUACUCAAAAGACAAGAGAGCUGGACAACCUUCUGGGAGAUAUUUAUCAUAAAAUUCUUGACAUGGAAAGAGCAAUCAUAAGGGAUCUAGUAUGCCGUGUUCUUCAGUUUCUACCUCAACUGACAAAAGCAGUGAACUUUGCAGCAGAACUUGAUUGUAUUUUAUCAUUGGCAAUUGUUGCGCGCCAAAACAAUUAUGUGAGGCCCAUCUUAACUGAGGAUUCCAUACUUGAGAUACAGAAUGGAAGACAUGCUUUGCAGGAAAUGACAGUUGACACAUUUGUUCCAAAUGAUACGAAAAUCCGCAGUGCAGGAAGAAUAAACAUAAUAACUGGACCUAACUAUUCAGGGAAAAGCAUUUACAUUAAGCAGGUUGCAUUGGUGGUUUUUCUUGCUCAUAUCGGAAGCUUUGUUCCUGCUGAUUCUGCUGUUGUUGGAUUGACUGAUAGGAUAUUCUGUGCAAUGGGAAGCAAGUCAAUGACAACUGAGCAGUCAACAUUUAUGAUUGAUUUACAUCAAGUUGGAACAAUGCUCAGGCAUGCAACAUCGAGUUCACUGUGCUUGUUAGAUGAAUUCGGCAAGGGUACUCUAACAGAAGAUGGUAUUGGUUUGCUUGGAGGGACUAUCAGUCAUUUUGCAAAUUAUGAUUAUCCUCCAAAGGUCCUUUUGUCAACACAUCUGACGGAGAUUUUCACCGAAAAUUACUUACCACAGUCUGAACAUAUAAAAUGCUGUACCAUGAGUGUUCUGAAUCCUGAUGGACAGACAAGCAAUGAAGAUAUCAUAUUCCUUUACAGACUUGUACCUGGACAGGCACUCUUGAGCUUUGGACUUCAUUGUGCACAGCUUGCUGGUGUCCCCGGUGAAGUUAUUCAAAGAGCUGCUAGUGUUCUGGAGGACAUCCAUUCCAAGAGACCUGUAAGGCGCAUGAUCGAUGAUAAUUUGGCGGCAAAGGACAAGCAAUACCAGGAUGCAAUGGCAAAAUUGUUGGCCUUCGAUCCGCGCAAAGGUGAUCUGAACCACUUCUUUGAGGACGUAUUCCCCCCUGAGGCGUAG
rnacentral:rRNA from 1 species